rnacentral:tRNA from 1 species
GGGCUGGGCUCAGUGGUAAAGCGCCCGCUUUGCGCGUGUGAGGCUCCGGGUUCGAUCCUCAGCACCUCA